CCCUCCCAUCCUCCUCCUCUAACCUAACUUUAAAGUCCACAGGAUGAGGGCAUCGCUGGUUAAGCCAGCAUUUAUUGACCCGAUUGCCCAGAGGGUCUUUAAGAGUCGACUACAUUGCUGUGGGUCUGGGAUUACACGGAGACCAGACAAAGUGAGACACUGGAGCAAGCAAGCACUAUGCUGGGAGUGAUGGAUAAGAAGUGUGGUUUAAAACAUAGUCCCAAUGUCAUUUGUACCUGUAAAAUACGAGCUGCGCAAUAAUA